rnacentral:misc_RNA from 1 species
CACAGCCGAGUGCACAUGGCCAGGAGGAGCACAAACCCAGCAGCACCUCAUAAUCAAAAUAUUGAAAGUAGCAUUGCCACUUUAGAGAGGCGCGUACUGUACCUACCCAGUAUAACGUGUAUUAGCUUUUAUCUUUACUUGACUUGUUUACUUGUCCCUUGUCGACCCGAGCCAUACGCCACACCUUACUAUACCCAACGUACCAGAGAAGUCUCGUUCGUGAGCUCCAGACAGAUUUCUGUUUUAUCCACAACUUGCGGAGUUGAUCAUAAAUUGGAGAAAAUGGCAAGUGGGCUACCAAAGGAGGAGAUUGAAGAGCUUAGGAAAGAAUUCAAUAAGGAGGACAUUAAUAAAGAUGGCAGCAUCUCUGUUGACGAACUAUCGAAAGUUAUGGGAAAUUUUUUCACGGAUGAUGAAACAAGAGCAUGGAUUAAAGAAGUCGAUAUUAACAGUGACGGACGUGUUCAAUUUGAAGAGUAUUUGUUGUUGGUGCAGGGAAAGAAGAUGACAAAAUCUUACAACAAGGUAGAGUUAGAAAGAAUGUUCAAAGACCUUGACAAGGAUGGUAGCGGAAAGCUCUGUGUCCAAGAACUGAGAUUGGGCUUCAAAUCGUUCUAUGAAAAAAGGAUCGAUAAGAUUUUAGCAGAAUGCGACAAGGAUGGCGAUGGUCUCAUCGACUAUAAAGAAUUCACCGAGUCGUUGAUUUUUAAACUUCCCGUUCCAGAGUGAAGGUGAUGAUCGUGUUCUCCUUACUACAAAUCCUCUAUUAGAUUCCACUCACAAGGUCGACCCUCAUAUUUAUAUGUUACUUUAAGCGAAGGUGAUAAUUUCUGUUUGUGUAUAUUUUUCAUCAUUAUCUUACUUCUGAAAGCCGACUUUACAUUAUCCAUUAUUUUGUUUCCUGGUGGGUGUUUCUUAAAGUCGCUCUUACGAACAGCUUUAUGAAACGGCCCCUGCACUCGGGAUACCUUAUAAUCAUAACGGAACAAGGUGUAUAUGUGUGGGUUUUUUUUAUUCUUGAGUCCAAACAUUUGUCAUACAAUGCCUGUCAUGAAUGAUACAUUCGUUUCAGAUAUUAUAAUAAUCACAAUGGAGAAUAAAGACUGAAAAGCGCAUGAAUGUAUAUAUGCAGGUAGAAAAUAGCCCCAGAAAUUACGGACCUCCCAAUUUGAUUUUAGGCAGUUAUUUUCAUGUUUAUCAGACAACGUGGCUGGAAGCCUUAAGAGCACACUUUCUAAAGUCCAGUUGUGUUUAAAGGUAUAGACUUAAUUCUUUGUACCCUCAUAAAAUUCAAUUCAUCUUUUUGACCUGUUGACACAAAUGCAAAGUGUAGGCUUUCUUCAGUCAAAUCACUGAUAAACAUUUAUGCCACAUUUGGUAUCGCUGUGAAAGCGUGAAGAGGAGUUGACACAGUGCAAUCAUCAUUUUGUGUAUACAUAUAUCACGUCGAAGAAUAAAUAAUUAUGGACGAUGAUAACAUCUUCAAUGUCAUAGCAUUUAGUCUUAAUGUAAUAUUGUUACAACGAAAUUCCAGUUCGUAUGUCACAUUUGUUUUUUCUCUUUUUGUCAUAUAUUGUG